rnacentral:rRNA from 1 species
CAGUCGCCGCGGGAAUACGUAGGUGGCAAGCGUUGUCCGGAAUUAUUGGGCGUAAAGGGCUCGCAGGCGGUUUCUUAAGUCUGAUGUGAAAGCCCCCGGCUCAACCGGGGAGGGUCAUUGGAAACUGGGAAACUUGAGUGCAGAAGAGGAGAGUGGAAUUCCACGUGUAGCGGUGAAAAGCGUAGAGAUGUGGAGGAACACCAGUGGCGAAGGCGACUCUCUGGUCUGUAACUGACGCUGAGGAGCGAAAGCGUGGGGAGCGAACAGGAUUAGAUACCCCGGUAGUCCCUGUCUCUUAUAC